UACAGGUGUUCAAGUGACAGAAUGAUCCCUCUGGCCCAUCUUCUCUGGCUACUGGCACUCUGGGUGCAGGGUUCCUAUGGCAAGGUUGUGCUGACACAGUCUCCAUCCUCUCUGUCUGCAAGUCCAGGAGAGAGAGUCACCAUGAACUGCAGGGCCAGUGAGAGUAUUACAUACAGUGAUGGUGACGACCUCUUAUACUGGUUCCAGCAGAAGCCUGGCCAAGCACCCAGGCGCCUCAUCUACUGGGCUACCAAUCUGGCAUCUGGAGUGCCAGACCGGUUCAGUGGCAGCAGGUCUGGGACAGAUUUCACUCUCAGCAUCAGCAGCCUGGAGCCUGAGGAUGCUGCAGUCUAUUACUGUCUGCAGAAUUUUAAGUUUCCUUACACAGUGAUAUAUUCUCGAACAAAAACCUCCCAAGGCUCAGGCCAGAUAAGCACCGCAGACCCAGGAGUCCGCAGUGCGAUAGAACCCCCUCUCACAAUAACACACGUUCGCGUUCACACUCACCUGGACCGCUGGGGGACUAGCAAUACUGAAAGGCGGAAACCCUAA